GGUCUGGAUUGUGAUAAAAAGAAGUGCAUGCAAUGCAUAAAAUAUAUAAUGUCGUGGCUCAGGGAUGUGUUGAAUUAUAGAGAUGCUUAUGCGGCACAAAAGAUAAGAUUAAUUUACCCAAAUGUACUAAGAAUUACCACACAACUUAAAUUUACUUAAAUAUUGAUUUGUUAUCCUGUGCCAGACAGAUGGCUGAUAUUCUGAGAAGAGACCUUG
rnacentral:lncRNA from 1 species